GAAUUGCUGUGUGACAGUGCAGGUUCCCGAAGACUAUGGUGAUAAAAGGAGCCACAUGCCUGUGCCUGAAAGAAACACCAAGAGCAAAGUCCAGAAUUACAGGAGUGGAAAUGGAGAGGAGCCUGAAGAUAAAAGAUCCAGCAACAGGCCCAAAGUGGGAUCCAGUUCAAGGGGAGGUCCCGAGGCCUGACACUAUUAAUGAGGCUAUGGAACACUCACAAAAAGGGACCUAGCAUCACUGCUUUCCAGAAAACGCAACAAGCAGCUGGAAGAGUCAGAUGCAGCUGGGCAGUGGUGGCACAUGCCUUUAAUUCCAGC
rnacentral:lncRNA from 1 species